GGAGGAAGUAACUUGUGGAAUGCUGAGAAAGAAUGAAGCUAUGAAUCCUGAUUAUGCUCAAGUGUAAGGGCAAAGACUGAGGUAUGCACUGAAGAGAAAUGAAAAGUUUCCAGUGAGGUUUGUGUAGAACCCUAUUUCUGAGCUUGGCACCAGGUAGGUACAUGAGCAUGUACAUGUGUGUAUGUGCAGGUGCGUCUGGGGAUACUUCAGUGUGUGCUUUAGACAUCACCCCUGUAUCACUGUUCUAUAACACCAUGACUUUGGAAGGACCCACAUUCAGUCCCCAGAAUGAUGCAGAUAUAGAAGGCCCUUACACAGUCACUGGGAAUCAUAAAGGGGCAAAGAUUUUCCUCAUUCUUCGUAUAUUAUUUUUUGAGUGUCCAUUUUAUGCCAGGUUCCCUGCUAGGCAUUGAGGACGCCAAGACAUUUUCCCAUUUAGCACCUCUACCCCAUCCCCUUACUAGCCUCACCUUGGCCCCUGUAGAGUAGGAGGGAGAAUAAAAAACAAGGAGUAGGAGAUGCCUCUCUGUCUGCCUUCCUUCCUUCCUUCCUUCUCUCCUUCCCUUGAUCCUUCCCUUCCUUCCUCCCUCCUUCUUUUUCUCCCUCCUUCCAUCCUCCUUCCAUCCUUUGUUUCUAGCAUGGAUGAAGUAUCUCUUUGACCUUCCCUGGCCAUGGCUGGUGCUUCCCUCUUUGGUACCUUUGUCACCUUGUAUGGAACCCUCUUGGUCCCCUGGGACUGCAGUCUUCAAGAGUCCAAAGGGGCCUCUCCUUCAGCUGGUCACUUAUGGUCCUCCUUCAGCCUCUAUCUCCAGUUGGGCCUCCACCUUUUUCUGCCAAGGUCUUUUUGAAGAAGCCCAUGUGGACAGAGUCCCCUUAAAAAUUGCUGGGCACAGUGGCUACUUGGGAGGCUGAAGCAGGAGAAGUUCUUGAGCCCAGGAGU
rnacentral:lncRNA from 1 species